UAGGAUAGAGGCCUACCAUGGUGGUAACGGGUAACGGGGUGUUAGGGCACGACACCGGAGAGGGAGCCUGAGAAACGGCUACCACAUCCAAGGAUGGCAGCAGGCGCGCAAAUUACCCAAUCCCGACACGGGGAGGUAGUGACAAUAAAUAACAAUACGGGGUUCUUUCGGAUCUCGUAAUUGGAAUGAGUACAAUUUAAAUCUCUUAACGAGGAACAAUUGGAGGGCAAGUCUGGUGCCAGCAGCCGCGGUAAUUCCAGCUCCAAUAGCGUAUAUUAAAGUUGUUGCAGUUAAAAAGCUCGUAGUUGAAUUUCGGGGUUAGUAGGUUGGUCAUGCCUCUGGUAUGUACUGGUCUCACCGAUUCCUCCUUCCUUAUGAACCGUAAUGCCAUUAAUUUGGUGUUGCGGGGAAUUUGGACUGUUACUUUGAAAAAAUUAGAGUGUUUAAAGCAAGCUAACGCUUGAAUACAUUAGCAUGGAAUAAUGAAAUAGGACGUUCGAUCUUAUUUUGUUGGUUUCUAGGAUUGACGUAAUGAUUAAUAGGGAUAGUUGGGGGCAUUAGUAUUCAAUUGUCAGAGGUGAAAUUCUUGGAUUUAUUGAAGACUAACUACUGCGAAAGCAUUUGCCAAGGAUGUUUUCAUUAAUCAAGAACGAAAGUUAGGGGAUCGAAGACGAUCAGAUACCGUCGUAGUCUUAACCAUAAACUAUGCCGACUAGGGAUCGGAUGA
rnacentral:rRNA from 1 species